rnacentral:rRNA from 1 species
UACAGAGGGUGCAAGCGUUAAUCGGAAUUACUGGGCGUAAAGCGCGCGUAGGUGGUUAUUUAAGUUGGAUGUGAAAUCCCCGGGCUUAACCUGGGCAGGUCAUCCAGUACUGAAUGGCUAGAGUACAGUAGAGGGAAGUGGAAUUUCCGGUGUAGCGGUGAAAUGCGUAGAUAUCGGAAGGAACACCAGUGGCGAAGGCGGCUUCCUGGACUGAUACUGACACUGAGGCGCGAAAGCGUGGGGAGCAAACAGG